UAUUAUUUUGGCAGAUUAGUGCGAUGAAUUUAGAAUUCAAAAAUAUAAUUUUUAUUAUAAAUAAUA
rnacentral:tRNA from 1 species